rnacentral:rRNA from 1 species
UACGUAGGGACCGAGCGUUAUCCGGAAUCAUUGGGCGUAAAGAGCGUGUAGGCGGUUCGGUAAGUCGGCUGUGAAAGUCCAGGGCUCAACCCUGGGAUGCCGGUCGAUACUGCCGGACUAGAGUUCGGAAGAGGCGAGUGGAAUUCCCGGUGUAGCGGUGAAAUGCGCAGAUAUCGGGAGGAACACCUAUGGCGAAGGCAGCUCGCUGGGACGUUACUGACGCUGAGACGCGAAAGCGUGGGGAGCAAACAGG